rnacentral:rRNA from 1 species
GACGAACGCUGGCGGCGUGCUUAACACAUGCAAGUCGAACGGUGAAGCGCUUGCCUUUUUGGUGGGUGUGGAUGAGUGGCGAACGGGUGAGUAACACGUGAGUAACCUGCCCUCUUCUUCUGGAUAACCUCAUGAAAGUGGGGCUAAUACGGGGUAUUCCGGGUCUGUCACAUGGCGGGUUUGGGAAAGAUUGCGCCUUUGGGUGUUUUCGGUGGGGGAUGGGCUCGCGGCCUAUCAGCUUGUUGGUGGGGUGAUGGCCUACCAAGGCGGUGACGGGUAGCCGGCCUGAGAGGGUGGACGGCCACACGGGGACUGAGACACGGCCCAGACUCCGGCGGGAGGCAGCAGUGGGGAAUAUUGCACAAUGGGCGCAAGCCUGAUGCAGCGACGCCGCGUGAGGGAUGGAGGCCUUCGGGUGGUGAACCUCUUUCGCCAGUGAAGCAGGCCUGCUCCUGUGUGGGUGGGUUGACGGUAGCUGGAUAAGAAGCGCCGGCUAACUACGUG